UCAAGUGACUAAGUGCAUGCGGCGGAUGCCUUGGCGAUCACAGGCGAAGAAAGACGCGGCAGCCUGCGAAAAGCUGCGGGGAGCUGGCAAACGAGCUUUGAUCCGCAGAUAUCUGAAUGGGGGAACCCACACCGCAAGGUGUAUCCGUAGCUCAAUACAUAGGUUACGGAGGCGAACGAGGAGAACUGAAACAUCUAAGUAUCCUCAGGAAAAGAAAUCAACCGAGAUUCCGGCAGUAGCGGCGAGCGAACCCGGAGGAGCCCAGCUUUUGAUAGUACGAACUUUAGCCGAAAGGUCCUGGAAAGGCCUGCUAUAGUGGGUGAUAGCCCCGUAGGCGAAAGAGUUGGUACGGUACUAAGGAAGCGAGAAGUAGAGCGGGACACGUGGAAUCCUGUUCGAAGACGGGGGGACCAUCCUCCAAGGCUAAAUACUCGUGAUCGACCGAUAGUGAACCAGUACCGUGAGGGAAAGGUGAAAAGAACCCCGGGAGGGGAGUGAAAUAGAACCUGAAACCGCAUGCAUACAAACAGUAGGAGCCUCAUCAGAGGUGACUGCGUACCUUUUGCAUAAUGGGUCAGCGACUUACAUUCUGUGGCGAGCUUAACCGAAUAGGGGAGGCGCAGCGAAAGCGAGUUCGAAAUGAGCGUCCAGUCGCAGGGUGUAGACCCGAAACCAGAUGAGCUAUCCAUGGCCAGGUUGAAGGUGUGGUAACACACACUGGAGGACCGAACCGACUAGUGUUGCAAAAUUAGCGGAUGAGCUGUGGAUAGGGGUGAAAGGCCAAACAAAUCUGGAGAUAGCUGGUUCUCCCCGAAAACUAUUGAGGUAGUGCCUCGUGUGUCGCUCCAGGGGGUAGAGCACUGUUUUGGCUAGGGGGACAUGGAGUCUUACCAAACCAAGGCAAACUCCGAAUACCUGGAAGCGUAAGCACGGGAGACAGAGCACCGGGUGCUAACGUCCGGACUCAAAAGGGAAACAACCCAGACCGCCGGCUAAGGUCCCAAAUAACAGCUAAGUGGAAAACGAAGUGGAAAGGCCGUGACAACCAGGAAGUUGGCUUAGAAGCAGCCAUCCUUCAAAGAAAGCGUAAUAGCUCACUGGUCGAGUCCUUCUGCGCGGAAGAUGUAACGGGGCUAAGCUGUUAACCGAAGCCGCGGAUGCACUGGUAAUCCAGUGCGUGGUAGGGGAGCGUUCUGUAAGUCUGCGAAGGCGGUUCGAGAGGACUGCUGGAGAUAUCAGAAGUGCGAAUGCUGACAUGAGUAACGUUAAAGCAGGUGAAAAGCCUGCUCGCCGUAAGCCCAAGGAUUCCUGCUCUACGUUCAUCGGAGCAGGGUGAGUCGGCUCCUAAGGUCAGGCCGAAAGGCGUAGCCGAUGGGAAUCAGGUUAAUAUUCCUGAACCUGCGUCAGAUGCGAUGGGGGGACGGAGCAUGAAAGAUCAUCCGGGUGUUGGAAGUCCCGGUUGACGAGCGUAGGAGGUCUGCAGGCAAAUCCGCAGACGCAUCUCCAAGGCAAAGACACGUGCCGCCACGGCGGCGAAGUGAUCGGAAGUGCUUCCAAGAAAAGCCUCUAAGCACCAGUCUGACGCGGACCGUACCGCAAACCGACACUGGUGGGCGAGCUGAAUAUGCUCAGGCGCUUGAGAGAACUCGGGAGAAGGAACUCGGCAAAUUGACACCGUAACUUCGGAAGAAGGUGUGCCGUAGUACCGUGAGAGGAGAGACACCUUGAGCGGGAAACGGUCUCAGAGAAUAGGUGGCUGCGACUGUUUAUUAAAAACACAGCACUCUGCAAAGUCGAAAGACGACGUAUAGGGUGUGAUGCCUGCCCGGUGCUGGAAGAUUAAUUGAUGGGGUGAGAGCCCUUGAUCGAAGUCCCAGUAAACGGCGGCCGUAACUAUAACGGUCCUAAGGUAGCGAAAUUCCUUGUC
rnacentral:rRNA from 1 species